rnacentral:rRNA from 1 species
UACAGAGGUCUCAAGCGUUGUUCGGAUUCAUUGGGCGUAAAGGGUGCGUAGGCGGCGCGGUAAGUCGGGUGUGAAAUCUUGGAGCUUAACUCCGAAACUGCAUUCGAUACUGCCGUGCUUGAGGACUGGAGAGGAGACUGGAAUUUACGGUGUAGCGGUGAAAUGCGUAGAUAUCGUAAGGAAGACCAGUGGCGAAGGCGGGUCUCUGGACAGUUCCUGACGCUGAAACACGAAGGCCAGGGGAGCAAACGGG